rnacentral:rRNA from 1 species
CUGGCGGCGUGCCUAACACAUGCAAGUCGAGCGAGAAAGGGGUAGCAAUACCCUGAGUAAAGCGGCGCACGGGUGAGUAACACGUGGGUAAUCUGCCCUAGAGUGGGGAAUAACACCGGGAAACCGGUGCUAAUACCGCAUACGGUUACGGGGUCUGCGGACCUUGUAACUAAAGGAGCAAUUCGCUCUAGGAGGAGCCCGCGGCUGAUUAGCUAGUUGGUGAGGUAAUGGCUCACCAAGGCUACGAUCAGUAUCCGGUCUGAGAGGACGGUCGGACACACUGGAACUGAGACACGGUCCAGACUCCUACGGGAGGCAGCAGUGGGGAAUUUUUGGCAAUGGGGGCAACCCUGACCAAGCAACGCCGCGUGGAUGAUGAAGUAUCUCGGUACGUAAAAUCCUUUCGACAGGGACGAAACCCGCAAGGGCUGACGGUACCUGUAGAAGAAGCCCCGGCUAACUCCGUGCCAGCAGCCGCGGUAAUACGGGGGGGGCGAGCGUUGUUCGGAAUUACUGGGCGUAAAGGGCGCGUAGGCGGUUUGCUAAGUUGGAUGUGAAAACUCUGGGCUUAACCCAGAGCCUGCAUUCAAAACUGACAAGCUAGAGUUCUGGAGGGGGUAGCGGAAUUCCUGGUGUAGCGGUGAAAUGCGUAGAUAUCAGGAGGAACACCGGUGGCGAAGGCGGCUACCUGGACAGAAACUGACGCUGAGGCGCGAAAGCUAGGGGAGCAAA